rnacentral:rRNA from 1 species
UACGGGGGGGGGCAAGCGUCGUUCGGAAUUACUGGGCGUAAAGGGCUCGUAGGCGGCCAACUAAGUCAUACGUGAAAUCCCUCGGCUUAACCGGGGAACUGCGUCUGAUACUGGAUGGCUUGAGAUUGGGAGAGGGAUGCGGAAUUCCAGGUGUAGCGGUGAAAUGCGUAGAUAUCUGGAGGAACACCGGUGGCGAAGGCGGCAUCCUGGACCAACACUGACGCUGAGGAGCGAAAGCCAGGGGAGCAAACAGG